GAAUUGACGGGGGCCCGCACAAGCGGUGGAGCAUGUGGUUUAAUUCGAUGCAACGCGAAGAACCUUACCUGGUCUUGACAUCCACGGAAGUUUUCAGAGAUGAGAAUGUGCCUUCGGGAACCGUGAGACAGGUGCUGCAUGGCUGUCGUCAGCUCGUGUUGUGAAAUGUUGGGUUAAGUCCCGCAACGAGCGCAACCCUUAUCCUUUGUUGCCAGCGGUCCGGCCGGGAACUCAAAGGAGACUGCCAGUGAUAAACUGGAGGAAGGUGGGGAUGACGUCAAGUCAUCAUGGCCCUUACGACCAGGGCUACACACGUGCUACAAUGGCGCAUACAAAGAGAAGCGACCUCGCGAGAGCAAGCGGACCUCAUAAAGUGCGUCGUAGUCCGGAUUGGAGUCUGCAACUCGACUCCAUGAAGUCGGAAUCGCUAGUAAUCGUGGAUCAGAAUGCCACGGUGAAUACGUUCCCGGGCCUUGUACACACCGCCCGUCACACCAUGGGAGUGGGUUGCAAAAGAAGUAGGUAGCUUAACCUUCGGGAGGGCGCUUACCACUUUGUGAUUCAUGACUGGGGUGAAGUCGUAACAAGGUAACCGUAGGGGAACCUGCGGUUGGAUCACCUCCUUACCUUAAA
rnacentral:rRNA from 1 species